rnacentral:tRNA from 1 species
GCUUCCUUGGCUCAGUCGGUAGAGCGUCGGUCUCAUAUUUAGUCUGUGAGCCUGGAUUUCCAGGAGCAAUCCGAAGAUCGCCAGUUCGAACCUGGCAGGGAGCA